rnacentral:lncRNA from 1 species
UCGCGCCAGAGCAGGCGGUGAUGCAGAAGGACGGCGACCCAGACGAUAUGCAGGGGUUGCUCGCGGUGCUGGCCUAAUCGGCGAAUGAGGUUGCCGCGGCUGCGGCGCAAGAGGUCGCGGAGGCGGCGCUGGCUGCGACAAAGGCGGUUGUGGCGGAGGAGGACGCCGGUGUGGACUGGGGUAACCUAGAGAAUGCCAGCGACGACGGCGGCGGCGAUGACGACGGCGGCAUGGUGCAGGUCCUCGACCUUGCCACCAGCGACGAGUAGUGGUAGUUUAGGUUUUUUUAAUGUUUAAUUUCCAAUUUCGUUCAAAUCGUUGUAAAAAAAUCCUAAAUAUGAUUGGAAUUUGAAACCUUUUUUAUUCUUCAAAUGUUGUUUUGAAUAUUUGAAAACCCCGACGGCGACCGAGGACAAGUUGCGCCGCCACCCCGACGGCCGGUGGAACAUCAGGAACUGGUGGCGGUGCUGGGAGGCCAAGUGCUUCGACAAUGUCAUCAUUGUGUACCAGCAGGCGGAAAGAGGCUUGAACCCCUUCCUUGCCGACGACGCCGCCGGAGCGGGCUCCUCCCGCGGCCGCACCCGUGCCCCCGUUGCCGCCCCCGCGCCCGCCCCGCCCCUGCCCCGACGGAUGUUCCAAUCGCGCCAGAGCAGGCGGUGAUGCAGCAGGACGGCUACCCAGACGAUAUGCAGGGGUUGCUCGCGGUGCUGGCCUAAUCGGCGAAUGAGGUUGCCGCGGCUGCGGCGCAAGAGGUCACGGAGGCGGCGCUGGCUGCGACAAAGGCGGUUGUGGCGGAGGAGGACGCCGGUGUAGACUGGGGUAACCUAGAGAAUGCCAGCGACGACGGCGGCGACGAUGACGACGGCGGCAUGGUGCAGGUCCUCGACCUCGCCGCGAGUGACGAGUAGUGGUAGUUUAGGUUUUUUUAAUGUUUAAUUUCCAAUUUUGUUCAAAUCGUUGUAAAAAAAUCCUAAAUAUGAUUGGAAUUUGAAACCUUUUUUCAUUCUUGAAAUGUUGUUUUGAAUAUUUGAAAACCCUCGUGAAGGCUUACAAAGUAACACUGUGCGAUGAAGCUAAAAAGAUUUAAAAUAAAAAGGCUUGAACCCCUUCCUUGCCGACGACGCCGCCGGAGCGGGCUCCUCCCGUGGCCGCACCCGUGCCCCCGUUGCCGCCCCCGCGCCCGCCCCGCCCCUGCCCCGACGGAUGUUCCAAUCGCGCCAGAGCAGGCGGUGAUGCAGCAGGACGGCGACCCAGACGAUAUGCAGGGGUUGCUCGCGGUGCUGGCCUAAUCGGCGAAUGAGGUUGCCGCGGCUGCGGCGCAACAGGUCACGGAGGCGGCGCUGGCUGCGACAAAGGCGGUUGUGGCGGAGGAGGACGCCGGUGUGGACUGGGGUAACCUAUAGAAUGCCAGCGACGACGGCCGCGGCGAUGACGACGGCGGCAUGGUGCAGGUCCUCGACCUCGCCGCGAGUGACGAGUAGUGGUAGUUUAGGUUUUUUUAAUGUUUAAUUUCCAAUUUCGUUCAAAUCGUUGUAAAAAAAAUCUUAAAUAUGAUUGGAAUUUGAAACCUUUUUU